rnacentral:rRNA from 1 species
GAUGAACGCUAGCGGCAGGCUUAACACAUGCAAGUCGAGGGGUAUAGUUCUUCGGAACUAGAGACCGGCGCACGGGUGCGUAACGCGUAUGCAAUCUACCUUUUGCAGAGGGAUAGCCCCAGAGAAAUUUGGAUUAAUACCUCAUAGUAUAGUACUUUGGCAUCAAGGAACUAUUAAAGUCACAACGGCAAAAGAUGAGCAUGCGUCCCAUUAGCUAGUUGGUAAGGUAACGGCUUACCAUGGCUACGAUGGGUAGGGGUCCUGAGAGGGAGAUCCCCCACACUGGUACUGAGACACGGACCAGACUCCUACGGGAGGCAGCAGUGAGGAAUAUUGGUCAAUGGACGCAAGUCUGAACCAGCCAUGCCGCGUGCAGGAUGACGGUCCUAUGGAUUGUAAACUGCUUUGUACGAGAAGAAACAAC